GUACAGUUUUUAUUGGAAAGAGGAGCAAACAUACAUGCAGUUGAUAUAUAUAAGAGAACAGCCCUCAUGCUUGCUGUAACUUAUGAAUGUACAGAUAUAGUCAAGCUGCUUCUUCAGAAAGGUAUUAAUAUCUUUUUGGAAGCUGAAUGUGGAUGGACUGCAGAAGAAUAUGCUACUGUUAGUGGUUUUCAUGUGUAAGUGUUUACAUUAAAAUGUUAUUACUAAACUGAA